rnacentral:rRNA from 1 species
AGCAGCCGCGGUAAUUCCAACUCCAAUAGCGUAUAUUAAAGUUGUUGCAGUUAAAAAGCUCGUAGUUGAAUUUCGGGAUUAGUACGUUGGUCGUGCCUUAGGUACGUACUGGUGUUACUGGUUCCUACCUUCUGACGAACCAUCAUGUCAUUAAUUUGGUGUGGCGGGGAAUCAGGACUGUUACUUUGAAAAAAUUAGAGUGUUUAAAGCAGGCUCGCGCUUGAAUACAUUAGCAUGGAAUAAUGAAAUAGGACGUUGACCCUAUUUUGUUGGUUUCUAGGAUUGACGUAAUGAUUAAUAGGGAUAGUUGGGGGCAUUAGUAUUCAAUUGUCAGAGGUGAAAUUCUUGGAUUUAUUGAAGACUAACUACUGCGAAAGCAUUUGCCAAGGAUGUUUUCAUUAAUCAAGAACGAAAGUUAGGGGAUCGAAGACGAUCAGAUACCGUCGUAGU